GGAGGAAUACCCAAGUCCGGCUGAAGGGAUCGGUCUUGAAAACCGACAGUGGCUUAACGGCCCGCGGGGGUUCGAAUCCCUCUUCCUCCGCCA
rnacentral:tRNA from 1 species